rnacentral:rRNA from 1 species
CGGACGGGUGAGUAAUGCCUAGGAAUCUGCCUGGUAGUGGGGGACAACGUUUCGAAAGGAACGCUAAUACCGCAUACGUCCUACGGGAGAAAGCAGGGGACCUUCGGGCCUUGCGCUAUCAGAUGAGCCUAGGUCGGAUUAGCUAGUUUGUGAGGUAAUGGCUCACCAAGGCGACGAUCCGUAACUGGUCUGAGAGGAUGAUCAGUCACACUGGAACUGAGACACGGUCCAG